UUCCAUUUUCAGGAUGUCUGCAGCUGUUUGAAAGUAAAUCUAGAUGAAACAGUGACCCAUCAGCAGAAGGAAAUGAGCCUCGGUUUUCCCCACUGUAGUGACAGAUUUUUGCAGAACCAUUUGCAGGUUUUUCCCCCUGUUUACUCUGAAAGAUAGUAGCUCUUUCCCAGUCAUUCCAGAAGUCCAAUGAUGGCUCAUUCAUAUGAGUGAGGUCCAGCACCUAGGCCUGAGCCUGUCACUGGAGCCAGGAAAACAACUUGAGAUAGAUUCUUUUGGAUCCUCACUGCAUGAGUCCUGGAGGAGAAGCAAUGGCACUGUUUUCUAACAGACAACACUUCCCAUCUGAACAGAAAUCAAGCACACUGUUAUAGCCAGGUAUGUUAUAACAAGGACCUAGUAGAAUUUCACU